AUUGAACGCUGGCGGCAUGCCUUACACAUGCAAGUCGAACGGCAGCACGGGUGCUUGCACCUGGUGGCGAGUGGCGAACGGGUGAGUAAUACAUCGGAACAUGUCCUGUAGUGGGGGAUAGCCCGGCGAAAGCCGGAUUAAUACCGCAUACGAUCUACGGAUGAAAGCGGGGGACCUUCGGGCCUCGCGCUAUAGGGUUGGCCGAUGGCUGAUUAGCUAGUUGGUGGGGUAAAGGCCUACCAAGGCGACGAUCAGUAGCUGGUCUGAGAGGACGACCAGCCACAACUGGAACGAGAAACCGGCCAGACCCCUAAGGGAGGGCGGCGGUGGGAAUUUUGGAAAAAUGGGGAAAGCCCUAUCCAAGAAAGGCGGCGGUGGGAAAAAAGGCUUUCGGGUGGAAAGCACUUUUGUCCGGAAAGAAAUCCUUGGCCCUAAUACGGUCGGGGGAUGACGGUACCGGAAGAAUAAGCACCGGCUAACUACGUG
rnacentral:rRNA from 1 species